CAUGAUAUAGCAAUUAAAGGAGCAAUUCGCUAUAAGAUGGACCCGCGUCGCAUUAGCUAGUUGGUGAGGUAAUGGCUCACCAAGGCGACGAUGCGUAGCCGACCUGAGAGGGUGAUCGGCCACAUUGGGACUGAGACACGGCCCAGACUCCUACGGGAGGCAGCAUG
rnacentral:rRNA from 1 species